rnacentral:rRNA from 1 species
AUGGAGGUUCAGCUUACUCAUCAGCCCGAUCAGUUGUAUUGGAAGCUUACUAAAUCUGGUGAAUUCACAGUCAAGUCGAUGUACAUUGAUGUCAUCAAUUCUAGUGUAAUUCCUAGUUCCAAACACGUUUGGAAAGUUAAGGUUCCUCUCAAAAUUAAAAUGUUUAUGUGGUUUAUGCAUAAACAAGUCAUUCUAAUGAAAGAUAAUUUGAUUAAGCGCAACUGGACAGGAUCUACUAGGUGUAGUUUCUGUGAUCGGGAUGAAACUAUCAAGCAUCUUUUCUUUGAGUGCCCGAUGGCGAGGGUGUUGUGCCGCUCGGUGUAG